rnacentral:rRNA from 1 species
AACGAACGCUGGCGGCGUGCCUAACACAUGCAAGUCGUGGGAGAAGGUGACCUUUGGGUCACGAGUAAACCGGCGCACGGGUGAGUAACACGUAGGUAACGUACCAUCGAACCUGGGAUAACCAGCCGAAAGGUUGGCUAAUACCGGAUACGACCGAGAGGACUUCGGCCCUCACGGUGAAAGGCGGCCUCUGCUUGCAAGCUGUCAUUCGAUGCGCGGCCUGCGCACCAUUAGCUAGUUGGUGAGGUAACGGCUCACCAAGGCUGAGAUGGUUAGCUGGUCUGAGAGGAUGGCCAGCCACACUGGGACUGAGACACGGCCCAGACUCCUACGGGAGGCAGCAGUGGGGAAUAUUGCGCAAUGGGCGAAAGCCUGACGCAGCGACGCCGCGUGGGUGAUGAAGGCC